UUAAGUUCAGCGGGUAUUCCUACCUGAUCCGAGGUCAACCUUGGUAAAAGUUGGGGGUUUUACGGCGUGGCCGCGUCGCUAUCCUCAUGCGAGAUGUUACUACUACGCAGGGGAGUCACAACGAGACCGCCACUGUAUUUCGGGGCCGGCGCGCCGCGGAGGACGGCCGAUCCCCAACGCCGGGUCCCGCCGAAACGGGU
rnacentral:misc_RNA from 1 species